GCCAUAAGGACACAUCAGUGGAUCAAACAAUUGAUGAACUACUAAUUCCUGCUAUUCUUGACAGUAAGCAAGAUAUAGAUCAAGUUAGAAAAAGAUUAAAUAUGAAGAAAUUGAAUAACUUGAAGACUGACAAGCUUUAUAAGAACUUCAGUUACAAUAAUAGUGCAACAGAGUCAAAUUCUUCUGGCCCAGUGAAAGAGCAACAGUUUCUAUGACUGGAGAAUGGUGUCAGAAACUGGAAUCAGAGUGACAGAUCUGCUCAUUGCUGUUGAUGUGUGAUUGCUCCAGGGGUCUCUCAGGAGGCAGAGAAGGAUACAGAUAACAGAGACAAGAAUAAGGAAGCAGAUGGUAAUAUUUUUACAACCAAUGUCAUGUCCUAGGGUCUAUGUUAUCCUUUUCCAUCUAUUUAUUAUUUGCAAGUCUGUCUUCUAACAUUGAGGAAAUAUACUUCUUAUUCUCAGUUUGACUGAUUUUAAGAGAAAGAACAUUAAAACAUAGUAAUUUAUACUACUUUUAA